AGCACCUACGGGUGCUGCUGCCAUUCACCUACUCCCUCCGUCGCGCCGGCGCCGCUCCCUCGGACGCCGGCGGCGUGACUCCGCCCAAAGAAAAUCACCCAUCUUGCACCUUGCAGCGCAUCCCUGGCGAGCUCGCCCGGGAGAUCGGCUCCGACGAUGCCCUCAUCAUCGUCCCGCACGGAAGGGGCGUGGUCCAGCGGGUCGAGGUCGGGCAGGACGGCGACGGCGCGUUCCUGGGCCGCGGGUGGCAGGAAUUCGCGGACGCGUGCGGAGUCGGGGCGGGGUGGUUCGUGGUCCUCCGGCACCGCGGCGGCGGCGUGCUCACCGUCAAGGCGUUCGACGCCAGCUGCUGCCUCACGGAGCUGGGCACUCAGCUUGGAGCUGAAGCAGCCAUGAGCAGCACAGAAGCAUCCCGCUGGCCACAGUUCAUCAGUCUGCUUCCACCAGAUUCUAUGGAGAAGAUGAUAAUACCAGCUAAGAUUGUGCAAAAUUACAUCCCCAGGGGACACUGGAACAAUCAUAUCGCCGUCGUUUUUGGACCCCUUGGAAAAAUUUGUGAAAUGAUCUCGGGAUGAAUCAGUCAGAUAUGUUCUUUGUAGGUGGGUGGUCUCAAUUUCUAGCGCUUCAUGGCAUCACUGAAGUCAAUUAUCUGCUGUUAAGGUAUGAUGGCAACAUGAAGUUUACAGCUAAAGUAUUUGAGCCCAAUGGAUGCCAAAGAGAGUCUAAACACAACAGCACUGGAUUGCAAAAGAUAUCAACAUUACAAGAUAAAGAAAAGCAGCAGGAAGUACAAUGUGGUGAAGAACAAGAGCGAUUGGUCAGGUACCAAGCUUGUAUACAUAAGUGUAAGAGAAACAAUGAUUGGCCAUGCAGUGAAGGACGAAAGAAACCAAAGGCACCCAUGAAUUCUUCGAACCAGGCUCCACUCCAGAAGAGAUCCUUCUAUGAAAUUGGCCCCCCAUCCUGGAUUAAGAAAGUGAUCGACUCAAGGAUACAUGAAUACAAACUUCCUCUGCAACAGCUUUCUGCCAUGCAGUUGGACUGCAAGAACCUUGCAUGAUCAUGCUCAAGACUUCAAUGGACAGUCCUGGAUGUUGGCAGGUGCGCGGUCUCCCAGGCAAGAAUUGUAGCUUCCUGCUUGUGCAGGGUUGGAGGAGGUUCUAUCAGGAGAACAUUCUGAAGGAAGGCGACAUGUGCACUUUCAAUGUUGUCGAAACCACACUGGCAUGUUGUUAUCACACGCUGCAAGGAAAAGAUAAAUCAGUUCAACUAUGAAACCCCUUCUGCAUCAAGUAUAAAGCGUAAGAGUGACAACAAUAUGUCAAGUAGUAAGGAGCAGAAGGAUCCAAAGAACCCCACGACUUCUUUGAAUAAGGCGUCAUCAUCUAACAGAAGAUGUAUUUUUGAGAUUGGACCACUGGCUUGGAUAAGGAAGGAGAUCAACAUCUACACAAUUCAAAAUAUCUUUUCUUUGCCGCUGGUCUUCUGCGAGGCGAUUGGACUCCGGGAAACUUGUGCGAUCACCCUCAGGACCUCUGAGAGCAGCAAUGCUACUUGGCUGGCACGUAUUAGGUCAUACAAGAAUUGCAACCACCUUGGUGGGUCGGGAUGGAAGAGGUUCUGCUGGGAGAACGGGAUCAAGGAAGGUGACGUCUGCACUUUCAAUGUUGUCGAAACCAAGCUUUGGCAUGUUGUUAUCACACGCUGUGAGGAAAAGAUAGAUCAGUUCUGCAUUGAAAGCACUAAAACCAAGAAGGAUAUGCUAAAUAGCGAGGGACAAAAGGGACCAAAAGUCUCCAUGGUUCCUCUGAACAAGGCAUCAUAUAGGACAUACUCUGUCUUCAAGAUUGGGCCACCGGCUUGGAUAAAGAAGGAGAUCAACACCAGCACAAUUGAACAUCAUCUUUCUUUACCACUGUCCUUCUGUAAGGCGCUUGGACUCCGGGAACCUUGCACAGUCACACUCAAGACUCCAACUAGCAGUACUAGUUCUUGGCAUGCGGCUGGUGCCAUACACAAAUCGCAGUCAAGUGGAUGGAUCAGGUUGGAAGAGGUUCUGCUAUGAAAAUGGGAUCAAGGUCGGUGAUGUCUGCACCAUCCAAAUCAUUGAAACCACCUUGUGGCAUGUCACCAUUGCUCGCAGGUGCAUGCUUGACUAGACUCGGCAGGGAGGUCCUGUAUUUUGAUGCCCUACCUAGGUGCGCUAACUGCAUGUUUCAAAGUUAUUUUUGCUUAAUUGCAUGGAAUCUGCAGAGUUGAUAGGAUGGAGUGGAAAAUACAUGAUGAUUAAAUAAUACCUAUAAAGUUACUGCAUUAUGAAAAUAUUUGCCAUACCAACAAUUUGUUACCUUCUAGGCUUUUAGUAUGGCAAAUCCAAAUAGUCUUCAUUAUGGAAGUUUUUUUUUAGAAUGUCUUCAUUAUGGAAGUUGGACAGCUUUGCUUACUGUCUUCAGGGUGUCAUGUACUUGCGAGUUGUCUUAAUAGUGAGAGAUUCUUCUUAGGACAAUACUGUGGAGAGGGCCAUAACCAUCGGCAGAGUUCUUUUUCCUCCACAAUUGCAUGUUAACUCAUGAUACCUUGCAUCAAUGGCAAAGGGGAUCUCCUCCUGACCAGCAGCAUCUUGUUGGGCAUGACCUUGCCCAUUUGGCAUUGAGAAGGUGCAGGUUGUCGAGGAAGUGGUGGAACAACCUCCAGGGGGAACGACGAGCUUUAGGUUGACACGCUUUGCUGAGGAUGUAGCUGCUGGAACCUCUGAACAAUUGAACCUGAUCCAGUCUCUGCAGUGGAGGGGUAGGCCUCAUUUGCCCAUCAUCCCUGGCAGCCACACCCAGCACCCCAAUUUCGGGUCCGCCAUGACCCAUUUCAGCACGUCAGCGUAUGAAAUCCCUCUUGUCGUCCUCCCAGCAUGUCGAUGAAGCAGGACCGGUAGUCAUGGUGCAUGAAGACGACGAUGCAGCCGUUCAGCUCGACCAGACUCAGGCUGGACCGCUGGAGCGGCAGCAAUGGCGAUCCUUGCUGGGGAGGGGCCCUUGGAGGAGGCUCGGCCUCCACUCCUCCUUCGCCAGGUCGAACGAGGUAGUUGUCGGCUGUUUUGUUUUGUUUUGUUUUGUCCGGGUCGGUGUCGGACAUGGGUUCGGACAACGAUGCAACACAUAGCCAAAGGUCUUACUUGCUGAAAAAUAUUCUACUGCAUUAGAUGUAAAUAAAUAUUAACAGUUUGAAAACUAAUAAAACAAUUUUUUGUAACUAAUUUA